rnacentral:misc_RNA from 1 species
AGCAGCCGCGGUAAUUCCAGCUUCAAUAGCGUAUAUUAAAGUUGUUGCAGUUAAAAGCUCGUAGUUGAAUUUCGGGAUCAAUUUAUUGGUCGUGCUAUUGUACGUACUGGUAUUAUUGAUUCCUACCUUCUGACGAACCAUGAUGUCAUUAAUUUGGUGUCUUGGGGAAUCAGGACUGUUACUUUGAAAAAUUGAGUGUUUAAAGCAGGCUCACGCUUGAAUCAUUAGCAUGGAAUAACGAAAUAGGACGUUUGAUUCUAUUUUGUUGGU